rnacentral:rRNA from 1 species
CCUCCCACCCGUGUUUACUGUACCUUAGUUGCUUCGGCGGGCCCGCCAUUCAUGGCCGCCGGGGGCUCUCAGCCCCGGGCCCGCGCCCGCCGGAGACACCACGAACUCUGUCUGAUCUAGUGAAGUCUGAGUUGAUUGUAUCGCAAUCAGUUAAAACUUUCAACAAUGGAUCUCUUGGUUCCGGCAUCGAUGAAGAACGCAGCGAAAUGCGAUAACUAGUGUGAAUUGCAGAAUUCCGUGAAUCAUCGAGUCUUUGAACGCACAUUGCGCCCCCUGGUAUUCCGGGGGGCAUGCCUGUCCGAGCGUCAUUGCUGCCCAUCAAGCACGGCUUGUGUGUUGGGUCGUCGUCCCCUCUCCGGGGGGGACGGGCCCCAAAGGCAGCGGCGGCACCGCGUCCGAUCCUCGAGCGUAUGGGGCUUUGUCACCCGCUCUGUAGGCCCGGCCGGCGCUUGCCGAACGCAAAUCAAUCUUUUUCCAGGUUGACCUCGGAUCAGGUAGGGAUACCCGCUGAACUUA